rnacentral:rRNA from 1 species
CCUACGGGUGGCAGCAGUGGGGAAUAUUGGGCAAUGGGCGCAAGCCUGACCCAGCAACGCCGCGUGAAGGAAGAAGGCUUUCGGGUUGGAAACUUCUUGUAAGGGGGAAGAGCAGAAGACGGUACCCCUUGAAUAAGCCACGGCUAACUACGUGCCAGCAGGCGAGGUAAGACGUAGGUGGCAAGCGUUGUCCGGAUUUACUGGGUGUAAAGGGCGUGCAGCCGGAGAGACAAGUCAGAUGUGAAAUCCACGGGCUCAACCCGUGAACUGCAUUUGAAAGUGUUUCCCUUUAGUGUCGGAGAGGUAAUCGGAAUUCCUUGUGUAGCGGUGAAAUGCGUAGAUAUAAGGAAGAACACCAGUGGCGAAGGCGGAUUACUGGACGAUAACUGACGGUGAGGCGCGAAAGCGUGGGGAGCAAACAGGAUUAGAUACCCCGGUAGUC